UACGUCCACACCUUUUAGGUGUGGGCCAGUUGGCUGUCAUACUUCCAAGAAAAGCUCGAACUACUGUAAAGCAUCAAAUACCUGUACCGUAAACCGACACAGGUGGGUUGGUAGAGUAUACCAAGGGGCGCGAGAUAACUCUCUCUAAGGAACUCGGCAAAAUGACCCCGUAACUUCGGGAGAAGGGGUGCCAAGUAACUAAAAUUGCUCGGUCGCAGUGACCAGGCCCUGGCGACUGUUUAUCAAAAACACAGGUCUCCGCAAAGUCGUAAGACAACAUAUGGGGGCUGACGCCUGCCCAGUGCCGGAAGGUUAAAGAAGUUGGUUAUUCAUUCGUGGAGAAGCUGACGACUGAAGCCCCGGUGUACGGCGGCCGUAACAAUAACGGUCCUAAGGUAGCGAAAUUCCUUGUCGGGUAAGUUCCGACCCGCACGAAAGGCGUAACGAUCAGGGCACUGUCUCGGAGAGAGACUCGGUGAAAUAGACAUGUCUGUGAAGAUGCGGACUACCUGCACCUGGACAGAAAGACCCUAUGAAGCUUGACUGUAGCCUGGAAUUGGGUUCGGGCUCUUCUUGCGCAGCCUAGGUGGGAGGCGUUGAAAGCUUUCUUUUGGGAAAGCUGGAGCCAUCAGUGAGAGACCACUCUGGAGGAGCUAGAAUUCUAAUGGCGUUCCUUGAAGCAGGACGCUUGACAGUUUCAGGUGGGCAGUUUGACUGGGGCGGUCACCUCCUAAAAGGUAACGGAGGUGUGCAAAGGUUCCCUCAGGCUGGACGGAAAUCAGCCGUAGAGUGUAAAGGCAGAAGGGAGCUUGACUGCAAGACCUACAAGUCGAGCAGGGGCGAAAGCCGGCCUUAGUGAUCCGACGGUUCCAUGUGGAAGGGCCGUCGCUCAACGGAUAAAAGUUACUCUAGGAUAACAGGCUGAUCUUCCCCAAGAGUUCACAUCGACGGGAAGGUUUGGCACCUCGAUGUCGGCUCAUCGCAACCUGGGGCGGUAGUACGUCCCAAGGGUUGGGCUGUUCGCCCAUGAAAGCGGUACGUGAGCUGGGUUCAGAACGUCGUGAGACAGUUCGGUCCAUAUCCGGUGUAGGCGUUAGAGCAUUGAGAGGAGCCUUCCAUAGUACGAGAGGACCUGGAAGGACGCACCUCUGGUAUACCAGUUAUCAUGCCAAUGGUACACGCUGGGUAGCCAUGUGCGGAGUGGAUAACCGCUGAAAGCAUCUAAGUGGGAAGCCCACCUCAAGAUGAGUGCUCUCCAUCAGGUCACAGGAAGACAACCUGUUUGAUAGGCAGAAGGUGUAAGGCUAGUAAUAGUUUCAGCUGAUCUGUACUAAUAGACCGAUUGA
rnacentral:rRNA from 1 species